UUUACGUUACUGAGAAGUGAGAAGAAUUUCCGGAAGGGUAAAAGGCAAUUAGGCAAGAAAUCGAUGCCUGUCCUGUAACUGUAAGUGACAUACGAAACAGUGGUUUCACCCUGAUAGAGCUUUUUAUUGCGUCCUAUUUCUGUCUGUGACGUUUACAACUUUCUUCAACAAUGGCAAACGAGCAGCAGACAUUGCGACCAUGGUUCCUCGACCUAGUACCUUUUUUGGUGGUUGUCUUAAUAGCAGCUCAUGUCCUCGCUUUGGUAUACUGGAUUUACAGAUUAGCAACUGAGAGACAACCGCAGCGGAGAAAGGCUCACUAGGAACAGAUUGAUCUGUUAAGCAUUGAAGCCGAAGUGAUCCAAGUUUACCUUGAAGGAAAUUUGGCUGCGGACAUUACAAAAUCGGCAUAACAGAUCUUGAGGGGUUAUUUGGAUCAUCCUGUCCUAGGUCUCUGAACAUCAUUGCUAUUUCAUCUGUAUGGAACUGGUGUUAGCGAGGGCUAAAACGGUCGACUGCUUUGUGGUGUGUCUAGGAUUCAGUUAUGGAUUCUAGUUUGGUCUAUGUGGCCAGUGGGCGUGCUUGAGUUAUAUUUGUCCCCGUUUGCUGUCAUGUAAAUGAAACAUUUUUUAGGCAAUGAAGUUUUCUUUCCGUUUGGCCAAGAAAAA